AUGGGGACGAUGACAAAAGGUCGCAAACGCGAAGCAGAGGCGUGGCUAGACUGUAGCGACAGCAGGACGGCGAAUGAUAAAGUGGCCGGCGUCGGCCUUGGCGCGAAGCAGGGGAGGCGAAGCUCCUGCUCGGGGAGGUGCGGCAAGGGGAACCGCGUGGAGGCGCGGAGGAAGGCGGCAGCGGCGAAUCGAGUCGGAGGUGAGCACGAGAUGGCAUCAGAGAGGGUACAGUUGUUGCUACUGCCGACUCUGACGGAGGAGAGAUCUGGUGGCGGAGCUGGCGAGGCGGCGGCGCCGGGUAGACGAGGAGGCAGGCGAGGAGUAGAGGGACGACGGAGCGGAGCAGAGCAGCGCCUCGGGUCUCGUGUAGGAGGUGGGGUCAUGGUCGUGAUCGACCUCGACCUCGUCAAGGGGAUCGGGCGUCUCCCCUGGAGGCGUUGGGUGCAGUUCGCAGCGCUCAGGGGGGAAUCGACAGGAAGGAGCGGGGGUUAG
rnacentral:rRNA from 1 species